CAAGGUCCGGGUACCCACCAUGGUGACCCGGCGGCGGAUAUUCAAUAAAUACCUGAUCGCCGGCGUCAUUACCGGCGCCGGAGUUACUUUCCAAACCCUAACCACUAACUCCUUCCUUUCUUCCAUUGAUUCCCCUUUCAUCAACGGUGUCGUUCGUUCCUCCCGAGCUCUCUUCACCAUAACUUCCACUGUCAUCGACUACAAGUUCUCACUAUACGGACUCAAUCCUCACACCGACGACUAUCGCCUUACUCUCUCCGAACUACAUCUACGAUCAGCAAAGAGAAUUCUAACGAUGUGUGAAGCAAAUAAAGGUAUUUACAUCAAAGCAGGUCAGUUUGUUGCUGCCAUUAGGCAAGUACCAAAAGAAUACUCAACAACACUUUCUUCAUUACAGGAUCAUGCUAUUCCUUUUCAGUUUGAAUCGAUUAAACAUGUGUUAGUUAGUAAUUUAGGUUUAAGUUGUUUAUCGGAGUUUUUUUUCUCCUUCGAUGAGGUUCCGGUUGCUGCUGCAUCUAUUGCUCAAGUACACCAUGCUGUUUUAGUAAAAGACCGUCAGGAAGUGGCAGUGAAGGUGCAGUAUCCUGGAUUGGAGUAUCAAAUGAAAUUUGACCUUGUAACUAUGUCGUUGUUGUCGAAAUCAGUUGGAUGGAUCUUCCCCGGAUAUAGGUUUCAAUGGCUUGUAAUGGAAUUUGAAAAAUCUAUUGCUUCUGAGCUUGAUUUUAUUGCAGAGGCCAAAAAUUUGGAGAGGAUUAGGGUAAAUUUUAAGGAUAAUUCUAUGGUUAGGGUUCCGAAUGUGUUUUGGGAUUUUACGACAAGGCAGGUUAUGACGAUGGAGUUUUGCAGAGGUCGUAAAGUUGAUGACUUGGAGUUUCUGAAGGAAAGAGGAAUUAGUGAAGUCAAGGUUGCGAAAACUUUGGCAGAAGUAUUUGCAGAAAUGAUUUUUGUUCAUGGUUUUCUUCAUGGGGAUUUACAUCCUGGUAAUAUAUUGGUUUCUCCUGAAGGGAAGAAUGGAUUUUCGUUAGUGUUGUUGGAUUUCGGGAUUUGUAAACAGUUGAAUGAGGAUUUCAGAUUGAAGUAUUGCGAGCUUUGGGAGGCUUUGGUAGUUAAGGACUCAGCCAAAAUCCAGGAGAUAGGAGAAUAUUUUGGUGUUGGAAAGUACUCAAGAUACUUCCCUGUCAUAUUUACAGGAAGAACUAUUGACAGUAAAUCCGCACUUGGGGAAGGGAUGUCUGUUGAAGAAAGUAACAACCUAAAGCAGGAACUGAAGUCUCUUAAAAUGGAGGACAUAUCUUCCUUCAUGGAAUCUCUGCCUACCGAUUUUCUUACAGUAUUGCGGACCGAUGGGCUCCUAAGAUCUCUGACGAGCAAGUUGGGUGCUCCCUUGAGAGUCAGGUUACUAGCAUAUGCUGAGUAUGCACUUUAUGGACUUUCAUUGAAGGCUGACUCUAAAUCUGAUUCUGCCAUAGAAGUUGUGCUCUUUAGAUUCAAGAUUGGCCUCCGAUACAUCCAACUAAGACUCCUGUUUGGGAUAUUGGGGCUUGUUUCAUGGCUAGAAAACAUCAAACACACGUCAACUAGGAGGUUUAAAGAUUUUCUUGCCUCAGCUGGUUUUGUGAAUUUAAAUUUGCUGUGGUCGAGAAUAUAUAUUGGUCAUUAAGCUCACAAUGGGCUUUGGACUUGAUGACAAUACCCAAGGAUUAUACCGAGGGAAAAUAGGUAGAAUAGUGCUUAUUAAGCACCAUUUGAUAGCUUAUUAUCGGAGUUAUGAGGUUGUUGCUUUAACAUAUACUGCUAGAGGCUGCAGCUGCAGUAAUGUAAACAGUUUUCACGAAAACUGAUGAUAAAUAAGGCCAUGGAAAAGCAAUCUGGAAGUGCUUUGUCACAAUCAGUUAUCGCAGAAAGAGCAAGAACUAGAAUGACUUAAGAUUCCAGGUUUUCUA